rnacentral:rRNA from 1 species
UGGGAAUUUUGGACAAUGGGCGAAAGCCUGAUCCAGCAAUGCCGCGUGUGUGAAGAAGGCCUUCGGGUUGUAAAGCACUUUUGUCCGGAAAGAAAUCCUUGGCUCUAAUACAGUCGGGGGAUGACGGUACCGGAAGAAUAAGCACCGGCUAACUACGUGCCAGCAGCCGCGGUAAUACGUAGGGUGCAAGCGUUAAUCGGAAUUACUGGGCGUAAAGCGUGCGCAGGCGGUUUGCUAAGACCGAUGUGAAAUCCCCGGGCUCAACUGGGAACUGCAUUGGUGACUGGCAGGCUAGAGUAUGGCAGAGGGGGGUAGAAUUCCACGUGUAGCAGUGAAAUGCGUAGAGAUGUGGAGGAAUACCGAUGGCGAAGGCAGCCCCCUGGGCCAAUACUGACGCUCAUGCACGAAAGCGUGGGGAGCAAACAGGAUUAGAUACCCUGGUAGUCCACGCCCUAAACGAUGUCAACUAGUUGUUGGGGAUUCAUUUCCUUAGUAACGUAGCUAACGCGUGAAGUUGACCGCCUGGGGAGUACGGUCGCAAGAUUAAAACUCAAAUGAAUUGACGGGUCAUAGCUG